rnacentral:rRNA from 1 species
UACAGAGGUCCCAAGCGUUGUUCGGAUUCACUGGGCGUAAAGGGUGCGUAGGUGGCUUUUUAAGUUUGAUGUGAAAGCUCCGGGCUUAACCCGGAAAUGGCAUUGAAGACUAUUGAGCUAGAGGAUUGGAGGGGAGACUGGAAUACUUGGUGUAGCGGUGAAAUGCGCAGAUAUCAGGAGGAACACCGAUGGCGAAGGCAGGUCUCUGGGCCACUACUGACGCUGAGAAGCGAAAGCAUGGGGAGCGAACAGG